AUCCAGCUGACGAGUACCAAAUGGGACGAAACCCGCGUCCUGGAU
rnacentral:hammerhead_ribozyme from 1 species